rnacentral:misc_RNA from 1 species
GCAAACUUGGUCAUUUAGAGGAAGUAAAAGUCGUAACAAGGUUUCCGUAGGUGAACCUGCGGAAGGAUCAUUACUGAAUAAAAGGAGUGGUUUUGAAGGGGUUGUCGCUGGUCUCCUCAGAGGCAUUUGCACGCCGCUCGCCACUCUGUCAUUCACCUUUUCCACCUGUGCAUUCUCCUGUAGGCCAGAGAACAGCCAUCUGCAGUUGUCCUUUUUCUUCCCCUUUCCCUACAUGGGGGGAGGGUUGGAGGGGAGGGGGCCACACUUUCUUGGGACCUGCUGUUGCAUUGCGACGGCUUCUCCUGGAGGGCAGAGUUUUUCUCUUGGUCUAUGCGUCUUAUCAAACCCUCCCAUAUUUUUUAUGUAUCGUAUUGGGCUUACUUAAAGCAAUGUAUGGCACAACUUUCAACAACGGAUCUCUUGGCUCUCGCAUCGAUGAAGAACGCAGC